rnacentral:rRNA from 1 species
GACGAACGCUGGCGGCGUGCCUAAUACAUGCAAGUUGAGCGAUGAAGCUUGGUGCUUGCCCCAAUUUGAAGAGCAGCGAACGGGUGAGUAACGCGUGGGGAAUCUGCCUUUGAGCGGGGGACAACAUUUGGAAACGAAUGCUAAUACCGCAUAACAACUUUAAACAUAAGUUUUAAGUUUGAAAGAUGCAAUUGCAUCACUCAAAGAUGAUCCCGCGUUGUAUUAGCUAGUUGGUGAGGUAAAGGCUCACCAAGGCGAUGAUACAUAGCCGACCUGAGAGGGUGAUCGGCCACAUUGGGACUGAGACACGGCCCAAACUCCUACGGGAGGCAGCAGUAGGGAAUCUUCGGCAAUGGACGAAAGUCUGACCGAGCAACGCCGCGUGAGUGAAGAAGGUUGUCGGAUCGUAAAACUCGGUUGGUAGAGAAGAACGUUGGUGAGAGUGGAAAGCUCAUCAAGUGACGGUAACUACCCAGAAAGGGACGGCUAACUACGUG